AGACAGCCCAGUAAGUCAUGAACACUCUAGCUAGAUAAGUCAAGCAAUAAUAUGUGGAAAAUAAAUAAAUAUGCAGUUCCAAAGUAUAAGUCAAAUAUUUCUUGAAUUCAUAAGAUUCUUUUCGCGGUUUCAAGAUUCUUUCACAUAUUCAAUUUAUCAUGUCGAUCCUGGACUAUGACCACAUGUUCUCUGUGGCAGGGUCAUCAACACCAACUAAUCUUCUUGCGGUGAGUCCUUCAGGACAGUCAAUUGCCAACGUAUCUGCCCCUAUUGGCGGGGUCCUCAACAUAGCCAGGUCGAUAGUUCAGUUUGUUCUCUAUUUCAUAUUUCAGUUAUAUAUAAGAAAAAUCAUACAAUAUCAAAACCAAAUGUCGUUCAUAUCUUAAUUUCUUUCAAUUUAUCGGAUUCAACUCAACAGCCAGAAACUAUGACCACAUGUUCCCUGUGGUAGGGUCAUAUCACCGACUAUUCAUCUUGCGGUACCAAUGUAUUAGCCCCCAUUGGCAGGGUCCUCAACAUAGCCCGACUGCAAGUCUGAAUCUAUUUCAAGUCAUAAUCUUUUCUUACAUUAUGUUUAGUGUUCCAAGCCAAAAGGUACAAUGUCAGAGCAAUUAAACACAAUUCAAAUCAGAAACAAAUACGUUCAAUCAUAAUCAUAUAAUAUUCUAAAAAUACACAUAUAAUUCAUGCAUCAAAUUCGAAAUUACGAAUAAUUCGAUUCGUGAAACAUAUAUAUAGUUUGCCGAUAAAUCUAGAAAAGAGGUUACAUCACUUACCUUGCGAACGCGAUCCACGACAAAUCCAAUUAAUUCUGCAA
rnacentral:lncRNA from 1 species